rnacentral:rRNA from 1 species
GACGUAGGGCGCGAGCGUUGUCCGGAUUUAUUGGGCGUAAAGAGCUCGUAGGCGGCUUGUUGCGUCCGACUGUGAAACCCGACGGCCUUAACUGCGGGCUUGCAGUUGAUACGGGCAGGCUAGAGUUCGGUAGGGAGACUGGAAUUCCUGGUGUAGCGGUGAAAUGCGCAGAUAUCAGGAGGAACACCGGUGGCGAAGGCGGGUCUCUGGGCCGAUACUGACGCUGAGGAGCGAAAGCGUGGGGAGCGAACAGG